rfam:Halogeometricum pallidum JCM 14848 contig_38, whole genome shotgun sequence.
AAGUAUCUCCGAGUCUCGCCUGUGAUGGGGGAGAUAGGAGUAACGGUUGGUUGGCACAGCCAUCGGUGUACCUGUUCGAUUCAGAGAGCGGAUGCUUCGCACCGCGAGAAUAGGUUACGUCGUAAACCACAAUAUCCCAACGGCGGUCGGGAAUCCUCGCCCUUUAGCGCGGGGA